rnacentral:rRNA from 1 species
UACGAAGGGGGCUAGCGUUGCUCGGAAUUACUGGGCGUAAAGCGCACGUAGGCGGCUUUCUAAGUCGGGGGGUGAAAUCCUGGAGCUCAACUCCAGAACUGCCUCGAUACUGGAGAGCUCGAGUCCGGGAGAGGUGAGUGGAACUGCGAGCGUAGAGGUGAAAUUCGUAGAUAUUCGCAAGAACACCAGUGGCGAAGGCGGCUCACUGGCCCGGUACUGACGCCUGAGGUGCGGAAAGCCAGGGGAGCAAACGGGG